UGGCGAAGUCGGAGGAAUUCCGCGAAUAC
rnacentral:piRNA from 1 species